rnacentral:ncRNA from 1 species
CAUCGUGAGGUGUGGGCGAGAAGAAGGGAUAGCAAAAUCGUAGCCUGACGAACAGAAACCUGAUAUAAGGCAUACAUGGCGGACAAGCUGGCUGAAGACAAUGAAAUCCUAAAAGCAACCGUAACCCGCGUGCGUAAAUCAGGCAAGUAUAAAUGAU